rnacentral:precursor_RNA from 10 species
AACACAGAAAUAUGAAAUAUUUUAACAGUAUUCGGUAUAUUGUUUAUGACAUUUAUGAUUAAAGUUUUUCAUAAACAGUAUACUGAAUGGUGUUAAAUGUUAGGGAUUAUUCAUUACCU